UGUUGCCUGCCAAGAAUCACCUUUUAUUAAUUUCUAGGUUUGGAGUCUCCUGGGAAAAUUUUGAACCUGGAACCCAUAUGAGACAACCCCAGAAUGCAAAUUCCCCAAAGAGAAUCUUUUCUAUUCAGAGAGUUGAGAGAGAUUCAAACUUGUCAUUUUCCUUUGAUGAAACCCAGGAUCCCAACAAGCCAGGACCUGCAAGAUGUAGGUACUGUUGUUACACGUGGAAAACAACCAAAGCUUGGAGGUGUUGCCUUCACAGCUAGAUUUGUGUUGCAACAGUGACUAAGAAUUCUCUGCAGUCAGCGUAGCAACCAUCAGCCCCGGAUCAACAUUCACAGGCCGUCAAAAAAGCAUCCAAAAUCCAAAGCUGAUACAUGUGUAAGAGGAAGAAGAAGAGAAAUAACUCAGAGAUUUUUCCCUGUCUCUCACUGCUGAUGGCUUCCCUGCAGCUUAGGGAGGAGGAAUGAGGAGAUAACACACAACUCACCAUAGUGGAUUAUGUGUGUUUCUUGUCGUUUUUCUCCCAUGUUUUGCUGGUCAUUUGCCUGUUUGGACUUAGAUCUAGUCUCUGCCCUUCUCCUGUUCUGCUCUGUGUGGCAUCAGCCCCCUGAAAAUUACAUUUCCCAGGCUCCCUUGUCCACUGGCUUCUUGUAAGGUUCAGCCAAUGUGAAGAGCCAACAGGAAACAGAGCAGGUGUGACUGCCUCUCUUUGUGGCUCCAGCUUCCACUGGGAGAAGUUUCCAUCUCCAGGGUUCCGUUCCACCAGAGAACCGGGCUCCUGGGUUCUGAUGACACCAUCUCUGCCUUUUGUCCCUAGCCCUAAAGGUGAUUACUUAUUUCUGAUCUUUAACUUGUAUCUCUGUUCCAUUUUCAGCUCUUCCAAAACCUGUAGCUAGGUCCCUUUUAAAAUUCCCUUGGUUGAACUACCUGACAUGGGUACUGUUUUCUGGACUCCCAUGGUCAUGGUGUUGGGUCCAAGUUCCUCAGCCAGGAACUUGACCUCCUUGGACAUCGAGAACUGGAAAAACACACGAGUGGCUGUAGGAAGGCAGGACAUGCUUGAUUGCAAAAAAAGCCGCCAACAACCCGCCGGUCAGUGGCGUCUUAUGUACUCAAACAAACGCGGCCUCGUGCCAAUCAGUGAUGUUCGUGCUACAUUAACAUAAACAGGUUACAUAAGGGUGCGCCUGCACAGUACGUAUAGUGCUACUGCUGAGUCACUGCUCUCUCACGUGCGUAUGGCAAAUGGGCCUUUAAUAUAAUAAUGCUGUGUCAUUGCCUUUGCACAUGGGUAUGGCACGUGGGCCUUUAACAUCCAGUGUACUCUGGUCAGGCCCCCACACAUGGUUACUGUGCAUGCGUCAUUCAACCUAUAGUGUGGAUUUGAUUCUUACAAAUUAACCCUUUUUGACUCCCAAGUGUCUUAAUUUGGGUUCCCAGAAUUAGGGAUUCUUGUGCAAGUGACUUUAUUGGGGGAACACUCACAGGAAAAGAGUAAAGGAAGCAGGAUGAGAUGGGGGCAACCUCGUCAGAAUGUGGCCUCAGCUGGAGCCCACUUCAGCCUGAUUCCACUCGUGAUCAGAAGCGUGAAUUGAAGCACAGAAUUGCCCUCACCUGCAGGCAAGGGGCUGGGACUUUGCACCUGUGUCACUCAGCCAGUGGUGCCCAAGGGUGGUGCUAGUGGGGACCCACGGUCUCCAGGGGCCUGAAGAACCCGAUCUAAGUGACGUGCAGUCCUUGUGCAGCAGCGCCGUAGCCAAGGGGAAGCUGAAAGGCUUUCAUUGUUCGGGGCGAACAUCAGAACACCCGCUAUCAAUGGCCGCGAGACACUGAAACUCUCCAGAGUCAGAAGAACCCUCAGAUACUAAGUUCUGUUUGGGACGACCAGCCUGGCCUGAAGGUGGAGGUAGCUUUACACGGCGGGGUCCCUCUUUGAAGAUCUGAAAUGUUUUAAUGAGAUGUGUUACUUAUUACAUGGUCCAAAGCCAAGUGCUAAGGGUUAUUCCUGAGAUUUUUCCUUGCAUCCAUCCCUCCCCAGUCCUUGUAUAAAAACCUUAGAUCCAUA